rnacentral:rRNA from 1 species
ACGUAGGUGGCAAGCGUUGUCCGGAAUUAUUGGGCGUAAAGGGCGCGCAGGCGGCGUCGUAAGUCGGUCUUAAAAGCGCGGGGCUUAACCCCGUGAGGGGACCGAAACUGCGAUGCUAGAGUAUCGGAGAGGAAAGCGGAAUUCCUAGUGUAGCGGUGAAAUGCGUAGAUAUUAGGAGGAACACCAGUGGCGAAAGCGGCUUUCUGGACGACAACUGACGCUGAGGCGCGAAAGCCAGGGGAGCAAACGG